rnacentral:tRNA from 1 species
AUUAGCUCAGUUGUUUAGAGCAUAGUGCUAAUAACACCAAGGUUGCGGGUUUGAUCCCUGUAU